UAUAACAAGUUAGGUAUUGAAAUUUUUCAAUACAAACUACGACGAAAUGUUAAUUUUUAUGGGAAUAUAAAGCCAGAUCAGUGUAUUCAAGUUUCAGAGAAAAAAAUACCAUAUUCAGGAAAAGGACUUGAAGUUUGUCAGUUGGACCCGAGGCUUGUUGCUUUUCUGAAUGGUGUUAUUUUCAAGAAUGGGGAGUCAGUGAAAUUAUUGGAAAUCAAAUGUCUAUUCAUUGGUCAAAUUAUUUCUGCUGAAAAUACUGAGCAUCAUUGCCAAUAUUUGAGAAGAGGAAAAGCCAGCUAAUUUGAAAGAAUGAAUAAACAUUAUGCUAGAGUCUGAUUAAGUAUGGCAAUUAUGAAUUUGAAAAAUUGCGACUCUAUAGUGUUCUCAUCUGGUGAUAAGACGUUCAAAACUGUUAGUGAGCCAUUUGAUGAAGAAUUCACAAAAAAAUAAUUCUUAAAACUUGAAAUGAUUUAUUUUAAAAAUAUGCUUUACACAUUGUGUAGCAUGAAAGUUUGAAUUUUUCAAUUAGAAAGAUAUUUUUCCAAGCCUUAAUUAUGCUGUAAUAAGACCAUCCAGAAUAAGAAAAGUUCCGAAUCAUACAUGUCUGAAGUUAUACAUGUUAUAACUUCUUGACUAUUGAAAAAUUUG